AGAGACUCUAGUCACGCUCAUCCCGCUCCUCGUUUCCAGGUUAGCACUCUACCAAUGAGAUGGGUCAUUUGAGUACGACUGCCGGCAGUGCCCACCUUCCGAUUAUACAUGUGAAAUCGGCCAAAAUGAAGGCCAACGGACCCUCGGACGGACGACGGCACGGAACACACCGAACAGACUUGAGUCACUGACCUCGCCAGACUGUCCGACGGCCGAUUAUCGGCUUAGUGUGUCUCGGGCUUUAGAAACAUUUUUAAGUCAUGUAUGUGAUACAA